rnacentral:rRNA from 1 species
UACAGAGGGGGCAAGGCGUUAUUCGGAAUUAUUGGGCGUAAAGCGCGUGUAGGCGGUUCGGUAAGUCCGCUGUGAAAGUCGGGGGCUCAACCCUCGAAUGCCGGUGGAUACUGCCGGACUAGAGUACGGAAGAGGCGAGUGGAAUUCCUGGUGUAGCGGUGAAAUGCGCAGAUAUCAGGAGGAACACCAAUUGCGAAGGCAGCUCGCUGGGACGUUACUGACGCUGGAGACGCGAAAGCGUGGGGAGCAAACAGG